rnacentral:rRNA from 1 species
AUUGAACGCUGGCGGCAUGCCUUACACAUGCAAGUCGAACGGCAGCACGGGUGCUUGCACCUGGUGGCGAGUGGCGAACGGGUGAGUAAUACAUCGGAACAUGUCCUGUAGUGGGGGAUAGCCCGGCGAAAGCCGGAUUAAUACCGCAUACGAUCUACGGAUGACAGCGGGGGACCUUCGGGCCUCGCGCUAUAGGGUUGGCCGAUGGCUGAUUAGCUAGUUGGUGGGGUAAAGGCCUACCAAGGCGACGAUCAGUAGCUGGUCUGAGAGGACGACCAGCCACACUGGGACUGAGACACGGCCCAGACUCCUACGGGAGGCAGCAGUGGGGAAUUUUGGACAAUGGGCGAAAGCCUGAUCCAGCAAUGCAGCGUGUGUGAAGAAGGCCUUCGGGUUGUAAAGCACUUUUGUCCGGAAAGAAAUACUUGGCCCUAAUACGGUCGGGGGAUGACGGUACCGGAAGAAUAAGCACCGGCUAACUACGUG